GCAUCUGAAUCUUUCCCACUCCUGCGAUACAGUGCUGGACUGGGGAUGCACGAUGCAACAGGAAAGCAGAGGAAAUCCAGGCAAGCUUCCUUUCACCACAGUGGGACUUGUCUCUACACCUUUGCAACAUUU
rnacentral:snoRNA from 1 species